rnacentral:rRNA from 1 species
UACGAAGGGGGCUAGCGUUGUUCGGAUUUACUGGGCGUACAGCGCACGUAGGCGGAUCGAUCAGUCAGGGGUGAAAUCCCAGAGCUCAACUCUGGAACUGCCUUUGAUACUGUCGAUCUGGAGUAUGGAAGAGGUGAGUGGAAUUCCGAGUGUAGAGGUGAAAUUCGUAGAUAUUCGGAGGAACACCAGUGGCGAAGGCGGCUCACUGGUCCAUUACUGACGCUGAGGUGCGAAAGCGUGGGGAGCAAACAGG